UACGGAGGGGGUUAGCGUUGUUCGGAAUUACUGAGCGUAAAGCGCACGUAGGCGGAACGUUAAGUCAGAGGUGAAAUUCUGGAGCUCAACUCCAGAACUGCCUUUGAUACUGGCGAUCUAGAGUCCGGAAGAGGUGAGUGGAACUCCUAGUGUAGAGGUGGAAUUCGUAGAUAUUAGGAAGAACACAAGUGGCGAAGGCGGCACACUGGGCCGGUACUGACGCUGAGGCGCGAAAGCGUGGGGAGCAAACAGG
rnacentral:misc_RNA from 1 species